CAAACCCGAAUGAAUUUUUUGU
rnacentral:miRNA from 1 species